GAUGAACGCUAGCGACAGGCCUAACACAUGCAAGUCGAGGGGCAGCACAAGGAGCAAUCUGAGGUGGCGACCGGCGCACGGGUGAGUAACACGUAUGCAACCUACCUGUAAGAGGGGAAUAACCCGUUGAAAAACGGACUAAUACCGCAUAACACUGUAGAACCGCAUGGUUUGACAGUUAAACAUUUAUGGCUUACAGAUGGGCAUGCGCAUGAUUAGCUAGUUGGUGAGGUAACGGCUCACCAAGGCAACGAUCAUUAGGGGUUCUGAGAGGAAGGUCCCCCACACUGGUACUGAGACACGGACCAGACUCCUACGGGAGGCAGCAGUGAGGAAUAUUGGUCAAUGGGCGAGAGCCUGAACCAGCCAAGUCGCGUGAAGGAUGAAGGUUUUAGAAUUGUAAACUUCUUUUGCAGGGGAAUAAAGUGUCCGACGUGUCGGAUUUUGUAUGUACUCUGCGAAUAAGGAUCGGCUAACUCCGUGCCAGC
rnacentral:rRNA from 1 species